CUUGAUUUAAACUAAUAUAAAAAAAUACAUUAACAAUUUAAUAUUAUAGUUACAUUAACAAUGUAAUAGUAGUUUAUUGUAAAACGGAGGUGAAUAUGAUACGGCAAUGGUUAUCCACUCAAGAUAAACAGUCACUGGGGAGAGCCCAUGUACCAGGCUAUAUCAAUCAAAUACCAUCUAGCCGCCGUUUUGCACCGGUGACCAUGAAACUACAGUAAGGGCCUGCACCUGAACACCUCCACCUUCAGUCAACAGAGGCCACGUGGAGCCGAAGUCCCUCCAAGACCUGAAGACAGCAACAGAGAUCCCUCGACGCCUCGACGGUCGCAUAAGAUAAGUAGCCUCUUGCAGUCAGGUGUUCGCAAAGUGCUACUGAACGAACUAUUUCCUUGACAAUAAGUUUUUAUUUUUUUUUGUUAAUAAAUUUAAAUUUUCCUUUAUUCAGUAUUUUGAAUGGCGAUAAUGUGUAUUUAAUUGAUUUAAUAAGGUCAAUAAAUGAAUAUGUGAACG
rnacentral:lncRNA from 1 species